CUCUCUGGGGGUUUGGCUGGGCUCCCAUGUGUUGUCUAUUCUCCCUGGAGGGCCUAGCCCAGCUCUGCUGCAAUGGGGUGUGGGGAGGGUGUAAAGCUCCCAGGCAGCAAGUUUUGGUGUCAUUGCAGCAGGGAAGAUCUUGGAGAAGAGGAUGGGGCGGAGCCUGAGCAAAGGCCCACAUUCUUCUGAGUGACCGGGGCUCUGUGCUGGGCCAGGGUGCUGGAGGACCCCUGCUGGAGGAGCGGUCAGCGCAGAGGUGAAUCUCCUUAACUGAAAACACAGCAACUAGACAAUAAUGGAGAACAGAGCCAGAAAUUACCCAAUGACAAAAUAUUUAGGAACAGAUAAAAAAGAAACAAGGAGCAGCUCAAAGGAGAGCCUCAUCUUAAACUUAUUUUGGUCCAAAUGUAAUCUGCUUCACAGUCUUUCAUGUUGCAGCUGUUCUCUCCUGUCAUUCCUCCUGACAUAUGUAAGAAUUUCUCCAUUCUAACUCUAACGUGUCAUCUAGCUGGCAGACACUGUCCGUGGUCUCUGAUGUGCCUGCUUCUUGCCUUGUUCUACAGUAAUGGCAGCUACAGAAGCCUCUCUGGAGCGAUGCAGACUUUGUGUGCCAGAUUUUGUGCUUUCUCUUGUAAACACAUUUCCUCCCAUGGUCCCACAUGGCUCCCUGCCUGCUGAUGGCUGAGACCAGGGGAAGCUUGGCCUUUGGUCUCUGCUCCUCUUGGGGGCUUCUUUAGGCCCCAGACAGAGCUGCUUGCUGGGCAAGCUGCUGCCCUGCAUGGGGUUAAAAAGCAGCCAGCACAAAUGCUUGUCCUCGGAAGGAGAUGGGUGGCUGAAAGUUUGCACAGCCAGAAGGGCGAAGUGCUUGUGGGAAUUAAGAGGGAAAAACAAACCUUUAUAACUUGCUUGAAUUUUGUGGCACCACUGGGAUCCGUUCCUGACUUGGUCACAGUUCUGAUGCGGAAAAAGUCAUAAGACAUGAGAAGUCCUUGUUGCAGCUGCCUGCUGGCUGCAGGGGCUUGCCCCAGCUCCUGUAGGGCAGAGGUGGGCAGUGGGGCUGGUCCAGAGGGGCCGAGCUGCCCCAGCCCGCCCAGCAUUAAAACAGAGCUGGCUGCCCACCUGUGGGGAGCAUUCUGGAGAGCUUCCUACAGCAGAGUUUACUCACGGGGAAGUGGGUGUUUAAUUAAGAGGAAGCCAUCCCUGCAGCUAUGUCCCCACUUUUUGCUAAGAACUAAUCUGGGAGGACAUGGGCCUCUUAGUUAAGGACUCUGCAGGGAGGACACAGGGCAAGCAGCCACUGGAGCUUUUGCCCCCCUGCAUUUUGCUCCCCGAAGUUCUGCCAUCUUCUGCAACCCUGCUGCCUCUCCAAGUCGUUAAGGAUCUUUUAACAGCAUUAAGCCUGAGCUGGAAAGAUCCAACCAAGUCCAACAGCAGUGCAGUCAGAUGGAACCUGGGUGGAGAGCCGCCUCUGUGGGAAUGCAGCUGCAGGAUGCGAGUGCCAAACGGUACAGGAGGCUUCCACUGGCAGCCAGGCUCUGCGUUGAUGAAUAUCUGCUCCAAAACGCUGUCAGGAAGGCACAUGCCAAGAUGUCUGUAUGUUGCAGGGAAGCAGGUGCUGUCAGGAGCUCGCUCAGAGGAGAGGUGAAGCUUCGGAGCCAAGAGUGACAGCGGAGGCAGGGAGGAGGCUGUCCCCGCGGGACCAGGCGUGGCGGUGACACUGGUGGCCGGGUGUCCCAGCACCGAGUUGUGCCAGACCCGGAUGCAAAAGGGGAAGCGAUGCCAAAGCGCUGCAUAACAGAAGACGCUCGCAGGGCAAUAACUCAUGUUCACAUUCCUUCGGCCUUAUUUGUUCGCACCGCAUUGACCAAGAGGCACGUGAUGUGCCGUGACGCGUGCUUUGGAGGGUCAGAUUUCCGUCUGGGGCUGCAGGUGUGGAAGCCACGGCUCUGGAGGGAGUGAAGAGCCUUGUCCUGGGGCAAGCCAGGAGGCAAGAGCUCAACGUGGUCCCCUGCCCCACACACCGGUGCAGGGACAUGAGGAGCACUGCUGCCUGGAGACACCAGCCACAGCCUGGGUGCCUGCAGUAGCAUCCUCACAUGGGAGGCGUCUGUCCUGCUGCACUGCAUGGCUGAGCCUGGAGGGGCUGUCACAUCCGCCUGCUGCCUGUGCAUGCCCACCUGCUCAGCACGCCCACCUGUGCUGGUGGCAAAAGGAGGUUUUUCACUGCCUUGAGGAAACAGUGCUGAGCAUCUUCUUCCUUCAGGAAACACCUGCUGGCAAAAGUGGGUCAUCUCUCCAAACCCCAGAGCAACAGAAGCCUCCAAGGGCCUCAGGCUUAGUACAGGAUUCGGGUGCUGUGUGGGGCAUGUGGGCUUAACCAAACAUCGCAAAUCACUGCGCUAACCCUGUAAAAAGGACCCAUGCAUACAUACCUGCACAAGUAAUUCCCCUGCCUAAGCACCAUUAGGAAUGCUGCAUUCUGAAUUUAUUUAGCACGUGCCUUGACAGCUUUGGGUGUAUUUUUUAAAGCACUGGCUUUUGAGUCAUGUUAUUACAUAUAACUGUGUUCUUAACAAAUGGACGCCUCUAGGCUUCAUAGCUGUAGAGGAAAUCUUGAAAAGAUCCUGAGUCAAAAAUGGGAAGGAAAAAGAAAAGAAUCCAGGAUUUAUUACAUUUCUUAUUAUUGUUUUCCUGGUUUCUGACCCUGUCUUCUAUUUUCUUUGGAGCUAGCUGAUGACUUUUGAACUCCUGGGGUCUGACAGUACUAGAACUGGGCUCCAGAUAAAGUGCCUGACUGCUGCAUUUCUGCUCAAGUAGCCUGUAAGCAGGACAAACCAAACAAAACAUAUAUAUCUAUAUCAAUAUAUAUUUUUUUUUUACUAGAGGCUGUGCAAGGGCAUUCCUUUGUUUCCUCAGGGUUUUUUCCUGUUUGUAACACCCAACUUCUGCCCCUCUGCCUCCACACGAGAAAUCCUGCAGACCUCUCAUUCCACUGUGGCUGAAGCGAGUAAAUCCCUUUAAAGCUCUGGAGAUGCUUCAUUCUGUGAGAUGCUGAAUGUGAGCGGAUGACGCCUCUAGAGCUGAAAAUUGAACUGCCACCCUCCAAAGCAAGCCAGCAAGGUGUCUCCGCAGGCUGCCACCAGAGCAGGGAGGGGGCUGCAGCCUGAAGCCCUUCCCGUGGAGUGCCCAGGCACCCGCCAGCGCUGGUGUGACCCAGGACAAGGUCCCAUGGCAUGAAUUGGCCAGCGGGUCUUCUGGCAGAGCUCUUCACCAGCCAGGGACCUGGCUCGCUCCUCUGUGCUUGCCCAUCUACACACAGAUCCCCCUUGAGAUGAACCUCUCUUUUCCUACAUUUAAGCGUUGUGAGUCUGGAUGCAAGCCCAAAAGUACAUAAUGUUACAAAAUCUGCCAGUAACGCAGGGGAGAAGUAAGCAAAUCGACUACUUUCCUCUGUUAUUUUUGUUAUGAAUCAUGGAUUCAUAACAGCUCACUGGAAAGCUUCAGGCCUUUUUUUUUUUUUUGGCUGGUUUGUGGCUUUGACAAACAUCAGUGUCUUCUCCGUGACCCUCCCAAAGCUUGCUUCUGUCCCCGGAGCUGGAGGAGAUGAGACCUGAAAGAGAGUUGCUGGUGAAGCUGAUGAAAGGCGGGUUUGUUGCCUCUGUGGCUAUCCAAAGGUCACCUCCUGGCCAGCUAGGGAAGGGACGUGUUGGCUCCUGGGGGCUGGAUCAUGGCACCUGGGCACAAUGGGGCUCGGUGGAUCUGGGGACGCUUCUGCAAACACAGGACUGGAGCUGUCAUGAGGACACCCCUGGAUGGUUUGAGGCGCUCUGCGGGAUGGCUUUGUGCUGUUGGUUGCCGUGCCCCGUCUCGUGUGCUCAGCAUGCGAUGCAGGAGGCAUUGUGGUGGGAGAAGCAGUCUGCAGAGGAACGCCUUCGCCUUAGGUCCCGUGGAGCAGCAUGGUUUUCAGAGCAAUAUUUGGUUUGGCAGCUUCUAGAUCUGUGUGAUCUCCAGGAUCCCUUUCCAAAACCAUUUCAACUGACUUCUGGGCCGCGAGGGGCUGACCCAGCUGGAAGGAUCUUUCUUUUUCGUGGCAACCAGUCUUUGAGCAGCAACGCCAAUCUCUACCUCAACCUUGUAUUAUUUUCUUUGUGUGCCGCUGUGACAUCUGGCAUUUCCGUGGGAGGAAAGCACCCAAGUGAAGACCAUGACUAAAGGAGAAGUUCAUUGAUUUUCACUUAAAUUCUCCAAGAAAAGCCUGGAGCUACAGGAACGCUCUGGAGCGUCGUGUCAGAAUUCUCCCUGCCUUUUUCACUGCCUCCAGGUCCUAGGUACAUACUUAGCCCAGAAAGUCAUAUUAAUGUAAUGAAGGAGUUGUGCCUCUAUGACAGGCCACUGGAGGGACAGGAGAAGACUUGUCCAAGGGCAGAUGUAUGGGGAGGCGCAGACGUGCAGUUUUUCAUGGUUAGUUUAUGCUGCAUGGGUGUGUUUCAGGGUUCCUGAAGAAGGCAGGAGGCAUUUCAGAGGCUUUCAGAAUCAAGAAGGAAUUAUAAUUGUCCUUUUCUUAGGAAAUUAAGAAGACAACUACACUUAAAUGUAAGUUGCUAAUAAGACAACCAAUGAACGUGUAAGCAGAGAUGAGCAGAGCCAUUUAGAUGCCCAUGGGUAAACUGGCAACAGCAAGAAACGGCACCCGCCCAUACAGCUUGCAGCCCGCCCCUCUCUGUGCUCACUUUUUGGAUGUGUUGGGUUAAUUGAGGCAUCGCAGCUGACAGUGGCACAUAUGGAAUCAGUUUACACAGAGAUUAAAAUCAAUUAUUGCAUGUUUUUGCAGCUCUGAAAAGGGCUCCUCUGGAUCGUCUCCGUGGGUUUGGUCUGCACUAAUCAUUUUUAUUGUCACAGCAAGAGGCGGGGGGAGAAAAAUGAUUCCUCUACUACUGGUGGGGAUUUCUUAAAAUAUUAAGUUAAUGCAAAAAUGCCAAGCAUCACAGCAGUAAAAAUAUGAGGCACUAAUAAAAUAGAGUUAAUGUUUCACAGUGCAUACGCUUCUCAGAGUUUCCUGCUGAUUUCAAGUGACUUUGCUUUGGCCCAUAAAUCUAGCAUUAAAGCAACAGUCAGCAAUUGUGUUUAAUUGUGAUUAAGGUCUGAGACUCUGACAACAAGCAAACUUUCCCUUAGUCAUAUAACUGUGAUAUUGGUUGUUAUCGAUUAUUUUAUUUAUCAAUGUCAGGAGCUUUGCCAAGUACGCCAAGCCCUUUGUAGAAGCCCCUGAUCCCAUAAUGGUUUUGGUUCACUGCACGUGUUGUGAUUAGCCCCAGGGAAAUCUGCAGGCACUGGCACAGGAUGGGUCCACUUGCAACAAGUAGAAGCAAGCUGAUGAUGGGACAAGGAAGUGCAGAAGAAAUAAGAGAUAUGUUUAUGUUAGUCAUACGGGUACCUUAAUCUGUCCCUAUUUUGGCAUAUUUUCGCAUUUGGACUUCUCUUUGAGUGCAUGAAGUGUGUUCUCAUGACAGGUCUUGGGGUGAAUAGUUACCUUCAACAUCUAUUUUUGCUUCCAUUACUGUGAUCUUUAUCCAUCAUUUAAUUUGCAGUAGGCUGAAACUUGGCGGUCCAGAUGUAUUUCUUUUAAUCAGGCAGAAAGUUUCUUAAACAACAGUCUGAAGCGUGCCUCCUCAGACUCCUGGCUUCUAACACGCUUCUUUCGAGGAUUUAAAAACAAAACAAGAAACAACAACAGCAAAACCUCCUGUUCGUUUUUCCUGCAGCAACUGCCUAAUUUAAUACAUUCGAUCCUCCCUCGGGAGGGUCAUAAUUCUGUAUUAAUUUUAAGCAGGUGCUCUGUGUGCUGCAGCCCUUUGUAACAGACAUGCUAGACGAUGUGCGUGGACACUGCUGCGUGCAGCCCCAGUGUGGAGCCCCCGCUUGGGCUGAUGGCCCCAGACCUGUGUGCCCCUCUGGAGCCCUGGGCCCGCAGAUCGUGCUCCAACGGGUGCUGCCCCAUCGUGUGUCCUGGCUCGCUCACACUGUGCUUCGAGGCUCUGGGUGAAGCUGGUACACGGCCCUAAGCUACCCGAGUAUGGUGGGGAGGAGCAGGGGGGAUGCUGGAGCUGGUGGGGAACACCACUGUCUUUGUUUCCUUCUUUUUUUUUUUUCUUGUUCGGGACAAGAAGCCGUUUGCCAAACAGAAAAUCUCCUCCUCCCUAAAAAGAAUUAAUUUCGGAAAGACUGAAACGUUUUGCUUUGCUGUUUCGAAUCACCGUAAAAUGCUCCAACGCUUCCCCUCAGGAGAGGCUUUCCCUUGGAUUUUUCCCUGAUGCACUUGGGUGGAAUUUUCCACCCAAUUCCACAGGAAAAAAGUCGAAUUCGGCAAAAACCAAGGCUAGCCCCGGGAGCAGCAAGGCAGGGAUGGAGCUGCCCUGUGGGGACUGGAGGACCUCAGCACCCUGUGGACCCCCAGCCCAGGAAGCUGUGAGAGCUCCCCACCCCUUUGCAGGCAUCCCUAUGGGGAUGUGUCUCCCUCAAGGGAAAGUGCGGGGCUGUUCAGUGGUAUAACAGCAUUUUCUGCGUUGUUCUUUCCUAACAGUGUCUGCCAUUCCAUUUUGAUGUUGUUUUUGUAGAUGACUAAAUGUGAGGCUGAUGUUUUCGUGCAGCUACCUACCUUUCAGUACACAUUUUCAAGUGAUGAAAAAGUAUUUUUCAAGCCUUGUGACUCUCUGGUUAUUGCCAGCUCCCCUUCCCCUUGGUAUUUCUGUGGGAUACAAUGUGAUGGGAUCCUUAGGUGGUAUAGCCUGACAUAACCUUGUUGAACAUUUGCAGUUUCUCCAAGCACAUCUUUUCCAGUCAUUUUGUAAAUAACUAUAUGUGCAUCUGAAAAUUACUUCAUUAAAACCUUUACUAGCCUGACUCAUUUGUCUGAACAUAGGAACUUGUGCUUCAUUUACAAAGGUAAAAUUGCAGAGUUCUCAAAAGAGCUUAUUUAAUUUUUUUAAAGAAUGUAUUCAGCAAAGAUCUUCCUGUAAUAAGUUUGUUUCUUUUUUUCCCCGGUAAGUUUGUAUUUCAUUUUGUUUCAUGAUAAAAUGGUUUAGGAAUCUCAAUCAGGCCGUUUCACAGCCCUUUCCACAUCCUUCAGCUGCCCUGGCAUAUUAAUGAAUUUAGAGGAAAUUGCUAAAGCCUGAGCUUUGUGCGCUAUUGCUCUAAAUUGGUUAUGUUUUUGUUCUAUUUGCUACUAGUGGAAGAAAUAGAAAUACCAAAUCCUGAGCAGGCUGCAGUUUUGAAGCAUACCAGCAAGGUGGAAAGGUGUUUAGCUUUCCAGUGCAAUGCCAAACUCCGUUCCUUUCCCUUCCAUUGCAUUUGCAGAGGGUGAAACCGGGGUGCUUUAAAGCAGCAAGAGAUAAAACGUGGUGAAUGUCUUUGGAAAAAUUCCUGUGUGUCUUGUUUUGGUCACAGAUGCUCUGUUAGCUGCAUCCAAAUAGGAGACCUGGGGAAACAUGCACCAAGCUGUGGCUGCAUUGGACACUUACCAUGGUCCAAAGAGGAAGCAGAAUUCAGUGGAAUUCCCCAGGGGAUGCUCCCUGGGGUGCGGGUGGGAGCAUCCCUGGCCUGCCCCUGCGGGGAUGAGCUUGUCCCGGGGAAGAGUCCAGCUAGGGGAGAAGGGAGGGGUGUCCCCUGCUCGAUGAAGCACAAGGCAGCCAGAAAAUAGUGGGGAAAAUUCUCAUUAGGAUGCGGAAGGAAUGAAAAGAAGUGUUCUGAGCACACAGCAACUUUAUCUGGGGAGCCGUUUGUGUGAAGUCUCAGCUCGUGCUGGAAUGGGGGUUGCAGACCUGGACAGGGCUCAGAGAAGAGAGUUGAAAAUGAUCAGAGAGCUCAAAAAACGUUCAUCUGCGGAGGGCAUGAAAGGCUUGGCUUCACUGGCUGGUAAAGGGAGAGGGACUGUAAGGUGAAAGCAGAAUGGAAACGACUGGUCAGGAGGAAGCGUUUUUCAAAUACUCGCCUCUCUGAUAGGGGAAGGGCAAACGGGCCCUCCAGGGAAACCGAAGUGUGGGGGAUUCCCACAGAAUGAAGCAAACUGUUAGAAAUGUGUGAUUUAGCAUAAGGGUUUAUGGCCAGGCUGGUGCUGGGCGUGUAACAGGGAAGGUGAUGGUACCCAGAUCCUCGGUAUUGGAGCAAAGACCUUGCCAUUCCUGGAAGGGAUAUUAAUUACACCUCCUGCUCAAACCUUAGGCAUUGCUUGAAGUACUGGAGGUCAGGGUGAGCCCCUUGAUGGGCUGGGUCUACUCUUUUUCCAGCAUACCUGUGUUUCCUGCAAAGUAUCAAAGUAUCAUAGGGCAUU